rnacentral:miRNA from 4 species
GCUGACUCCUAGUCCAGGGCUC